UUAGUUAAUUUUGUCUUUAUCUUUUUCAGCAGUAGAUGAAUGCAGCUAUAUCUUCUUUGACUUUGGAACUUUUGAAGUACAGCUUCUGGUUGGUUAACUUAUUCGCACCCAAGUACAUGGAUCUCAGCCACCAACAGUUUGAGUGUCCACCACCACACACGUAUGAACUAGUGGGACAUUUAGAGCAGUCACCAGUAUAACAACGCACAGUAGCAUCAAGCACUCUAGAAUCUUCAAAGAUUUUGGAUGUGGACGUAAUAACUUAGUAGAUCCAGGAUUUCCCUCGACAUCUGGUAAACUGUAGGAGGUGCCGUCUUGACUGGUUUUAGCUACAACAGUAGAUGAAUGCAGCUAUAUCUUCUUUGACUUUGGAACUUUUGUAGUACAGCUUCUGGUUGGUUAACUUAUUCGCACCCAAGUACAUGGAUCUCAGCCACCAACAGUUUGAGUGUUCACCACCACACACAUAUGAACUAGUGGGACAUUUAGAGCAGUCACCAGUAUAGCAACGCACAGUAGCAUCAAGCACUCUAGAAUCUUCAAAGAUUUUGGAUGUGGACGUAAUAACUUAGUAGAUCCAGGAUUUCCCUCGACAUCUGGUAAACUGUAGGAGGUGCCGUCUUGACUGGUUUUAGCUACAAGUUAUAACUUCUCUACAUCUA